rnacentral:lncRNA from 1 species
UAAGUUAUAAUUUUAGAAAGAUGGAAACCUAACUAUUUAAAUUAAAAAUAGUCUAGGUUAGAUUUUUUUUGUCAAACCGUACAAACUUGGGAAAAGAGAGAAAAGAGCAAGGGCAGGAGGUUGGGACUUGAAGCUUUAGGAAGGAAGAACACACCUGUCGCGGCGCGAAAAAUAACUGAGCGUAAGGAACGCUCGAAAUAUAAACAAAACAGAGUC